GUGCCAGCAGCCGCGGUAAUACGCUAGGGUGCAAGCGUUGUCCGGAAUUAUUGGGCGUAAAGAGCUUGUAGGUGGUUUGUCGCGUCCGCUGUGAAAUUUCGAGGCUCAACCUCGAACUUGCAGUGGGUACGGGCAGACUAGAGUGUGGUAGGGGAGACUGGAAUUCCUGGUGUAGCGGUGAAAUGCGCAGAUAUCAGGAGGAACACCGAUGGCGAAGGCAGGUCUCUGGGCCAUAACUGACACUGAGAAGCGAAAGCAUGGGGAGCAAACAGGAUUAGAUACCCUGGUAGUCCAUGCCGUAAACGUUGGGCGCUAGGUGUGGGGCUCAUUCCACGAGUUCCGUGCCGCAGCUAACGCAUUAAGCGCCCCGCCUGGGGAGUACGGCCGCAAGGCUAAAACUCAAAGGAAUUGACGGGGGCCCGCACAAGCGGCGGAGCAUGCGGAUUAAUUCGAUGCAACGCGAAGAACCUUACCAAGGCUUGACAUAUACCGGAAACGGCCAGAAAUGGUCGCCCCGCAAGGUCGGUAUACAGGUGGUGCAUGGUUGUCGUCAGCUCGUGUCGUGAGAUGUUGGGUUAAGUCCCGCAACGAGCGCAACCCUCGUUCUAUGUUGCCAGCGCGUCAUGGCGGGGACUCAUAGGAGACUGCCGGGGUCAACUCGGAGGAAGGUGGGGAUGACGUCAAAUCAUCAUGCCCCUUAUGUCUUGGGCUUCACGCAUGCUACAAUGGCCAGUACAAAGGGCUGCGAGACCGCAAGGUGGAGCGAAUCCCAAAAAACUGGUCUCAGUUCGGAUUGGGGUCUGCAACUCGACCCCAUGAAGUCGGAGUCGCUAGUAAUCGCAGAUCAGCAACGCUGCGGUGAAUACGUUCCCGGGCCUUGCACACACCGCCCGUC
rnacentral:rRNA from 1 species